GUGUCAACGCUUCGUCAGAUAAAACACUGGUGUUCCAGGAAUACUCUUUUACCCUACACCAUCGUUUCCAGGAGUCAUCCUUUAAAUACCAAGGCAAUCGAAAGUCAUAGGUGAAGUCAUUAAGAGUAAAGGAUUUUUUGGAAGUUAAGCACUCCGAAUCUAUUAAACACUUGUCUGUAUUCUCAAAAAGCAUGACGAAAGAAAGUAAUUUUCUUUCAAUUUCGUCGAAUGAACAAUUACCAAAAGCAGUUGUUAUUUUAAUUUGAGCUUUUCCAGAUAAUUCAAUAUACGCUUUGCAUCUUUCAGAAAGAAGAACAGCGUUCUUAUUUAUUAUAUUUGCAUAAUACUCAGUAACAUCAAUUGUUUUUGACUUCAAAUGUUUAAAUAUUCCACUAAUGAGCUCUUCAACAAUUGCGACAUCUCGUUUUUUAGCCUCGAUUUUAAUGUUAUUGUUUGUUACAUUAAUUACUACAUGCGCUGCAUGCUUUUGAGAGAUAUCUCUUAAUGCACUAGCAUUAUUCAACAGAAGGAAAAACAUCUCCAACGGACAAAGCGUCACGUCUUUUAUUGCGAGCAUAUCGUCCAUCGCAUCGCCAUGAAUUCGUAGCUUCCAAUGAUCAAGCAAAAUACGCUCGAUUAUCUCUUUU